rnacentral:rRNA from 1 species
AGAGUUUGAUCCUGGCUCAGGAUGAACGCUAGCGACAGGCUUAACACAUGCAAGUCGAGGGGCAUCAUGAGGUAGCAAUACCUUGAUGGCGACCGGCGCACGGGUGAGUAACGCGUAUGCAACCUGCCCGAUACCGGGGUAUAGCCCAUGGAAACGUGGAUUAACACCCCAUAGUACUUUUAUCCUGCAUGGGAUGUGAGUUAAAUGUUUAAGGUAUCGGAUGGGCAUGCGUCCUAUUAGUUAGUUGGCGGGGUAACAGCCCACCAAGACGAUGAUAGGUAGGGGUUCUGAGAGGAAGGUCCCCCACAUUGGAACUGAGACACGGUCCAAACUCCUACGGGAGGCAGCAGUGAGGAAUAUUGGUCAAUGGACGAGAGUCUGAACCAGCCAAGUAGCGUGAAGGAUGAAGGUCCUACGGAUUGUAAACUUCUUUUAUAAGGGAAUAAACCCUCCCACGUGUGGGAGCUUGUAUGUACCUUAUGAAUAAGCAUCGGCUAACUCCGUGCCAGCAGCCGCGGUAAUACGGAGGAUGCGAGCGUUAUCCGGAUUUAUUGGGUUUAAAGGGUGCGUAGGCGGUUUAUUAAGUUAGUGGUUAAAUAUUUGAGCUAAACUCAAUUGUGCCAUUAAUACUGGUAAACUGGAGUACAGACGAGGUAGGCGGAAUAAGUUAAGUAGCGGUGAAAUGCAUAGAUAUAACUUAGAACUCCGAUAGCGAAGGCAGCUUACCAGACUGUAACUGACGCUGAUGCACGAGAGCGUGGGUAGCGAACAGGAUUAGAUACCCUGGUAGUCCACGCCGUAAACGAUGCUCACUGGUUCUGUGCGAUAUAUUGUACGGGAUUAAGCGAAAGUAUUAAGUGAGCCACCUGGGGAGUACGUCGGCAACGAUGAAACUCAAAGGAAUUGACGGGGGCCCGCACAAGCGGAGGAACAUGUG